rnacentral:rRNA from 1 species
UACGUAGGGUGCGAGCGUUGUCCGGAAUUAUUGGGCGUAAAGGGCUCGUAGGCGGUCUGUUGCGUCGGGAGUGAAAAACUCAGGGCUUAACCCUGAGCCUGCUUCCGAUACGGGCAGACUAGAGGUAUGCAGGGGAGAACGGAAUUCCUGGUGUAGCGGUGAAAUGCGCAGAUAUCAGGAGGAACACCGGUGGCGAAGGCGGUUCUCUGGGCCGAUACUGACGCUGAGGAGCGAAAGCGUGGGGAGCGAACAGG